UGAGGAAUAUUGCGCAAUGGACGAAAGUCUGACGCAGCGACGCCGCGUGGAGGAUGAAGGUCUUCGGAUUGUAAACUUCUGUUAAGUGGGAAAAAAUACGCAGGUCUAAUACAUCUGCGGAAUGAUUGUACCAUUAGAGAAAGCACCGGCUAACUUCGUGCCAGCAGCCGCGGUAAUACGAAGGGUGCAAGCAUUAUUCGGAAUCAUUGGGCGUAAAGGGUGCGCAGGCGGUAUGUUAAGUCAGUUGUUAAAUUCUUCGGCCUAACUGAAGGACAGCAGCAGAUACUGGCAAGCUAGAGUGUGGAAGAGAGAAGUGGAAUUCUCGGAGUAGCGGUAAAACGCGUAGAUCUCGAGAGGAACACCAAUGGCGAAGGCAGCUUCUUGGUCCAUUACUGACGCUCAUGCACGAAAGCGUGGGGAGCAAACAGG
rnacentral:rRNA from 1 species